rnacentral:rRNA from 1 species
UACGGGGGGGGCAAGCGUUGUUCGGAAUUACUGGGCGUAAAGGGCUCGUAGGCGGCCAACUAAGUCGGAUGUGAAAUCCCCAAGCUUAACUUGGGAACUGCAUCCGAUACUGGAUGGCUUGAAUCCGGGAGAGGGAUGCAGAAUUCCAGGUGUAGCGGUGAAAUGCGUAGAUAUCGAGAGGAACACCUGCGGCGAAGGCGGGUAGCUGGGCCGACACUGACGCUGAGGCGCGAAAGCCAGGGGAGCGAACGGG